rnacentral:rRNA from 1 species
UUCUUUAAGAUAUAAUUUAAAGUAAAACCUGCUCAAUGAAAUUUAAAUAGCCGCAGAUUAACUGUGCUAAGGUAGCAUAAUAAUUUGCUUUCUAAUUAAAAGAUAGAAUGAAUGGUUAAACACAUAAAAUACGUAUCUAUAAAUAAAACAAAACUAAAUUUAAGGUAAAAACUCCUCAUAAAAAAAGUGGGACGACAAGACCCUGAUAAACUUAAUAUAUUUGGUUGGGGAAACACAAUAAAAAAACUUUAUUAAUACACAAUACAAAACUUUAAACAAACAAAAGACAAGUUACUACAGGGAUAACAGCGCUAUCUCUUUCAAAAGCCCUAAUACAAAAAGAAGUUUACGACCUCGAUG